UGGGGAAUAUUGCACAAUGGGCGAAAGCCUGAUGCAGCAACGCCGCGUGAGUGAUGAAGGUCUUCGGAUUGUAAAGCUCUGUCUUUUGGGACGAUAAUGACGGUACCAAAGGAGGAAGCCACGGCUAACUACGUGCCAGCAGCCGCGGUAAUACGUAGGUGGCGAGCGUUGUCCGGAUUUACUGGGCGUAAAGGGUGCGUAGGCGGAUGUUUAAGUGAGAUGUGAAAUACCCGGGCUUAACUUGGGUGCUGCAUUUCAAACUGGAUAUCUAGAGUGCAGGAGAGGAGAAUGGAAUUCCUAGUGUAGCGGUGAAAUGCGUAGAGAUUAGGAAGAACACCAGUGGCGAAGGCGAUUCUCUGGACUGUAACUGACGCUGAGGCACGAAAGCGUGGGUAGCAAACAGGAUUAGAUACCCUGGUAGUCCACGCCGUAAACGAUGAGUACUAGGUGUAGGAGGUAUCGACCCCUUCUGUGCCGCAGUAAACACAUUAAGUACUCCGCCUGGGAAGUACGAUCGCAAGAUUAAAAC
rnacentral:rRNA from 1 species